AAUCACAGCCAUUUUUCCUCUCUUCUUCAAUCAAGCGCUCAUUUUCCUCUCACAACUUACAAUCAAAUUCAAAGUUUCCAUAAUGAAUACAACCUUUCCUUUGUAUCUUAUUUUGCAAAUCAAGAACCCUAAAUAUAAGUCGAUUUCCCUUUUAGCGAUUAGUCUUUGAUGUAUUCAUCGGCUGGAACGAUUUCUCUUCGAUCGGUAUGUUCUUCCUUCCAUUGUUGCAGGUGUGUUAUUCAAGUCGAUCCUCCCUUUUAGCGAUUAGUCUUUGAUUAACUACUUGAUUCAACAUUGAAAUUUUCUUUUAAUGUACUUCACCAAGAUUAAAAUUUGUUGUGGAACCUAUUCUAAUGUAUUCGAUUGCCCUAAAUCCCAGUCGCAUGCACCAACUACAAGGUAUGUUCUUAUCGAUCCUCUCGAAUUGUGAUUACUGAUGUCUAUCUCUGUUUUUCUUCUAAAGUAACUGGUCGUGUUUGAGAUUUUGCAUGAUUUUGAUUUAUGUAUGUUCAUCAUUUAGGGUAUAAAAAAAAUCGACUUACCUGAAUCAUUCGUUUUUCAUAAUUCUUUUCUAUGUUAAGGUUUUCCAAAAUCCCAAAAUCUGAUUAAUUUUCUAAGAGUCCUAAAUUUUGCGAUCAUAAGGAUUCAAUUUACUUCAGAUCUGCUCUUUUGCAUACACUAUUGUGGUGUUUAUCAUAGAUGUUGAUAUCUUACCAAAGAUGUUCUGCUACUUUUUUAAGUUUAUAACAAGUUGAUUACAUAUUUACAUAGGGUUAGAUGUAAAUAAUCCUUUUUACCGUGUGUUGUUUAUAUCGUUCUAAUUGGAAUUGGUGUUGCUAUGUUUUUUUUUUUUUGUUUCAAUUUGUUAACUUACAGUAUUCUGUUUAUUUAUAUCGUUCUAGAUGUAAAGAUGUUCUGUUUUUUUUUUUCAAUUUGCUAACUAACAAUAUUUCUCUUUCGGCAACUGAGGUUUCUGGGAAUGCUAUGCACCGCCUAUGGUCAAACUGGAUCAGAAAAAACGCAUACAAUGAUCCGCCGUUUAUGGUGGUCUUUUCCCAGCUAUUGUUGUGGUGGCUGGAGGUGGUGUAUGGUUGAAUAAGAGAUAGAUAAAACGUGCGAGUGAGAGACGAUCAAGAACAUUCAGUCAAGACAAUUCUAGAUCUCCUUAAACAUUCAGCCAGGUACUGCGUUAACGCAACCAUUACCGAUGACAAUUCACUUUCGAACAUUGUGUUCUUUGACCAAUUUGGGGAUUAAUUUGCUAAUCUGGAGGCUUGAUUUGCUGUAUUGGGGGUUUUAUAUGCUGGUUUGGAGGCCCCUACUCCUGUAACAAUAAACUAAAAGUUUAAACUUUACCUACUUAGGUUUGGUUUGACUUCCCACUACUUCACAUAAAACCCACCAGAUAUGUGUAAUGCCCAGUCACCUAUUUCCUUUGCUCGAUAGCGUGGAUUACAGAUUUAAACUGAGUCGAGGUAAUUAAGUUCUCAUUACUAAUUGUAUUUUUAAUCUGUUUGUAAGUAUAUGUUAAUAGUUACUUUUAGUGUUAGUUAAAUGGUAAAACUUUAUUGCAUUUA